GAAGGGGAGCGCGAGUGUUGUGUCAGCAUCGCGUUCAAUUAUCUCACCGAAGAGUUAGUUUUUGUUUCGCGUGUUGGAAAUUGGUACUUCUUGUCAACAUAUGAACCAGAGACAGGCAAACGUCGUCACAAUGUAAGAUUGACGCUGUUUGGUAAGGAGUUGCAGAUUCUUCAUCUGACAGCGCAUUGUAGUGGACCCAUGGUCUUAGUCUCUAGUGAAUACGCACUUUACCUUCAGUGAUAGUGACUAGCAUUAAACGGUUUAAGCUCUAACAGUUUAAUUAAGCUAUUCAAUAUCUGGGUCGUACUCUUUCGUCAAUAAGUACAUAUAUAGAUCAGUGGACUGAGGAGCUUUGAUCGUUCCCAUCAUGCACCACCAUUUUUUCAACCCUUAUUUUAGGGACUGGGUACUAGUCAGAUUCAUUAUAACCUUAACAAAACAAAUUUGUGCACAUUUGAUAUUUUUAAAGGUAACAUCACCACAGGGUGCUCUAUGGUCAGGGCUCUUAUUUUAAAGAUUUUCCCUUUGCGAAUUUCACAUAAUUUUCCAAGCUGUUGCCAAGUUAGUUUAUACACAGAAAGCUGAGUGGAUGAAGUAGAUUAAAUAAUUUCAUUGAAAACCAAAGAAUUUCAUAGCUCUUGCCAAGGGAUUAUCAUAUUUAGUUGAGAGCCCUGUGUUAACGUGCCUAUAUAGUCAAUAGUCGAAUAUACAGUAUAGUUUUUACAUUGCUUUUCUUCAAAAUAUGUCACUAGGAUGGGACUUUUAACACUGAAUGAUUGAUGUAUUUAAUACUAAAACAUUUAUAGUUAAUAGCUAUGUAGACUUUUUUACUAAGUUAAUUGUACUUUUAAUGAUA